UACGUAGGGUGCAAGCGUUAAUCGGAAUUACUGGGCGUAAAGCGUGCGCAGGCGGUUUUGUAAGUCUGUCGUGAAAGCCCCGGGCUCAACCUGGGAAUGGCAAUGGAUACUGGCAAGCUAGAGUGCGGUAGAGGGUAGUGGAAUUCCCGGUGUAGCGGUGAAAUGCGUAGAGAUCGGGAGGAACACCAGUGGCGAAAGCGGCGCACUGGACCACAACUGACGCUGAGGCGCGAAAGCGUAGGGGAGCAAACAGG
rnacentral:rRNA from 1 species